rnacentral:rRNA from 1 species
AGGCAGCAGUGGGGAAUAUUGGGCAAUGGAGGAAACUCUGACCCAGCGACGCCGCGUGCGGGAUGAAGGCCUUCGGGUUGUAAACCUCUUUCAGUAGGGAAGAAGCGAAAGUGACGGUACCUGCAGAAGAAGCACCGGCUAACUAUGUGCCAGCAGCCGCGGUAAUACAUAGGGUGCAAGCGUUGUCCGGAAUUAUUGGGCGUAAAGAGCUCGUAGGUGGUUUGUUACGUCGGAUGUGAAAAUCUGGGGCUCAACCCCUGACCUGCAUCCGAUACGGGCUAGCUAGAGUUUGGUAGGGGAGACUGGAAUUCCU